rnacentral:piRNA from 1 species
UGAGGACAGGAGCAUUUGCCUUUUCUCCCUC